rnacentral:rRNA from 1 species
AUUGAACGCUGGCGGCAGGCUUAACACAUGCAAGUCGAGCGGAGCGAGGGUGCUUGCACCUUAGCUUAGCGGCGGACGGGUGAGUAAUGCUUAGGAAUCUGCCUAUUAGUGGGGGACAACAUUCCGAAAGGAAUGCUAAUACCGCAUACGCCCUACGGGGGAAAGCAGGGGAUCUUCGGACCUUGCGCUAAUAGAUGAGCCUAAGUCGGAUUAGCUAGUUGGUGGGGUAAAGGCCUACCAAGGCGACGAUCUGUAGCGGGUCUGAGAGGAUGAUCCGCCACACUGGGACUGAGACACGGCCCAGACUCCUACGGGAGGCAGCAGUGGGGAAUAUUGGACAGUGGGGGGAACCCUGAUCCAGCCAUGCCGCGUGUGUGAAGAAGGCCUUUUGGUUGUAAAGCACUUUAAGCGAGGAGGAGGCUACUAGUAUUAAUACUACUGGAUAGUGGACGUUACUCGCAGAAUAAGCACCGGCUAACUCUGUGCCAGCCGCCGCGGUAACAC